CCUUCCAAGAGGGGCGCCAGCAGGGGCCUCCCGCCCGGUGUCCUCAGAGCCAACGGAACGAGACUCAGCUGCUUUAAAAAGCAAAUGAGAGUCUGUCUUCGACAAACAUACGACAUGCGAGCUCCAGCUCCAGAGCGCACGCUCUCCCAACAGGCUGUGCGCGGCCCUUUGACUGGCAGCCGGGAAGGGGCGGAGUUCUCGCGAGGCUCUGGACCCGAGUCUCGCGUGCAGCGUCUGCACACGGCCCCCGCCGCCAUCUUGAUUGCGUUGGGGAACCCGGUACAGUGCUGCCCACACAGCCAGGCUGCUGAAGGGCCUGAAGUUCCAGUCCCUCCAAACACACUUGCUCAUUCCCAGCCUCAAAGAAGACACCACCCUGACACCCAUGGUCACUCGCGAGAGAUGCUGAGGAGCCUCCCAAACCAGAAUCAUCUUGGAGCUUUGUCCUCUAUUCUGUAGAUGAGCCAGCAUCCGCUGUACCUCCUCAGCAUGGACUCCAGGGGUGGAGCCAGCGCCCAUAACUCGAGGAGUGAGUUGCAGUGAUGCUGCACACUGACUCUCAAAGACUGUGUGAAGCCGGUGCCUGAGAUCAGCUAGGGAAGGAACACAGUCCCAGUCUCUCCUUCACCGCCCACCCCACCUCUUGUCAUGGAGGGUGAAGACACACGCGUGCUGCCCUGGGUGCUCCUUUAAGUGAAAGCCUCCCAGACUUGUUCAUCACUUCGCUAAGUGCGAAGGAUUUCAGUGCCACGCGAGUGGUAGAUGUUGGGGAUGUAGUUGGUUCACAGAACAUGGCUGGCUGCCUUCAGAGGUUCAUAGACCAUGGUGGGGACAGAUAACCAGGCAAAACAAGGCAGUGUGUCCAGGGAUCAUGGUUACUACAAGGGUUGGGGGAGCAGGGACAGACUACCAGGAGGGAGACUGGGGAGGCUUCCCAGAGAAGGUGACACUGGAUUUCCUUGGUAUCACCGUGCUCAACAAGGAAAGCGGUCUCAAUUCUUCAGAGACAAGCAAAGACCCUGAGUCUGGCAGAAAGGGAAUAGAGACAGAAGAGAGUGAAAACAGAGACCAUCCAGAAUGUGCAGACUCUGUGCUUCCAUGCAAGAGGGAAUUGGGCGCGGGUAAAGGAUGGACCAGAGAAGGCGAUGGCACCCACUCCAGUGCUCUUGCCUGGAAAAUCCCAUGGAUGGAGGAGCCUGGUAAGCUGCAGUCCAUGGGGUCUCGAAGAGUCGGAC
ensembl:lncRNA